UACGUAGGCAGCGAGCGUUGUUCGGAGUUACUGGGCGUAAAGAGUAUGUAGGCGGUUGCGUAAGUUUGGUGUGAAAUCUCCGGGCUUAACUCGGAAAGGUCAACUGAUACUGUGCGACUAGAGUGCGGAAGGGGCAACUGGAAUUCUCGGUGUAGCGGUGAAAUGCGUAGAUAUCGAGAGGAACACCUGCGGCGAAGGCGGGUUGCUGGGCUGACACUGACGCUGAUGCGCGAAAGCCAGGGGAGCGAACGGG
rnacentral:rRNA from 1 species